UGAAUGAGGCAACAUAGGUAGGCAGAGGUGAACCCAGAGUGCACACAACACUCCCACAGUAAGUGGCAAUCUGCAAAACUCUGCUCCGGGAGGACUGCCACUACUACCCUCUUCCUACCUUGCUGGUGGCUAGGUUUUUCCAGUUGCUCUUGCCUCCAUGGUUUCUCUUCUGCUCACAGAUCUCUGUGGCAUCCCCUGGCCUGUCUCUGGCCACGUGUUCCUCCCACAGAGGGUUUCUGCCUCUGACCCCAUCCUUCCCUGAAGUCAGCUGACCCUGCUGCUGAAGAAUCCCACAUCUGUGAAACCUUAGAGGUUCUUGGGGUGCUACUACAAAGGGUGGCUGCUACCCUUUGUGUAGCCAAUGGCAACACUCUGCCCUUGUACUUCCCCACAGGGUGUGCCUCCUAGCCAGUGACUACAGUUCUUCACUUUAAAUCUACUUCUCUAGAAUUUCCCAAAUUCCCACUGGACCCAAUGCCAACCUCAUGAAGCUCACCACUCUCUGUCCUUUCUUCUACCUGCCCCUAGGCAUUUCCCCACACCCGCAGUUUGGCUCUGGCCAUACCCUGCCCCCGCUGCUGUGCUCCUUGGUGCUGAUGCCACAUGAUUUCACAGCCCUGGGUCAGGAGUUUCAGAGCAUUCUACCUGAGGUUCUGUGCUCCAGUAUGCCAUCGUCGCUAUGCCCAUAUGGGCUAGCUGCUCCCCUGGGUGCUGCCACCAGGAGGCUGUUGCCUCAGUUACCACGUUGUAUCUUAAUGGUUUAUUCAUGCCUCCAUGGCACAUCCCUCCCCAUGGGUCUCAUAUCCCCAGCCCCUGGGAUUCCUGGCACAUAAACAGGAUGACUCCAAAUUACAGAACGUGAAAGGGCGAGAAGGAGGGAAGGACUUGGGGUGGACAGCUUGAGUGAACCAAUAUUCAUAGAUAAGGACUAGGCAGGUGAGUCAGAGGAGAUAAGCUGGCAGAUAGUGGCAGAUUCAGCCACCGGGGGUGGGGGGGGGAGGCAUAAAUACUCUCCUUGCUGCUCCUCAGCACCUUCUCAAAGUGAGGAAAAUAAAACUGUUUUCCUUAUGACAACCUUGGUCUGAUGAUAAACCUUCCCAGCUUCCCAGGAGGUGACAGUGACUUUGAUUGGAGGGGAAAAGGCUGGAGGAGUAAGGGAAAAGGGAGAGGAAAAAGAGGAGAGAGACAGGAGGCGGGGGAGGAGAGCAAGAGAAAUCGCCUGCUUGUUCUGUGCGCUGAUUACUGAUGUGGGAAAGGCGGCGCAGCAGGUUCUGCUGGGAGGCAUUUAUUGCGCAUGAGAAAGCAAGCUGCCUGUUAAAAAGCUACCUCCAGUCUGCUGCUAAGCUGGAGGCCAGGGGAGGGAGUCUGGGGCCCCACAGGGUAGGGGACUGCUUUACCAGCAGCUGCAGGGUGGGAUGGGUUAGAGGGACUAGAACUGUUGACUCUCCCACUCUCUCACCUGGAUGGAAAGAGUGUUUGCUACAGUUCAAGGCGAUUUCAUCCAUGGAGCCCACAGACUGCUUCCCCGGGGGAGGUGUUUGUGUGGGCGCUUGUCCCUUUGUUUGCUUUCCUGUGCCCUGUACUGGCACUUAUAUAGUAGCUUAUGGAGGUAACUGAGAGUCCCUAACCCUAGUGGAUGCCCCUUUGAGAUAACUGGACCUGAGUCACACAGCUUUCAUCCUUGGGAAGUCAGGCUAAUCUCUCUUCUUACCCUAUUUCCUGUAGUGCUGGAGACAGAACCCACGGCCAUUGCCCCACAGGGCUCGUGCUUGACCACUGAGUUAGCCGGUCUCCCAGGAGAUGGUGACUCUGUGGAAAGGUGAGGUCUGGCUGAAGGAAGUGUGUCACAAGAGAUGCAUUGUUGAAGAUGCAUUGUUGAAGAAUGCAUUGUUGGCCCCGACUUUCCCUGUUACACAUUGCAAUGGAUGCAGCUGACCUUUGAUUAAAAUAUCUGAUAAAUCUUCCUUUCUUUAGGUUGUUCAGGUCCAAUAGAUGGAAAACCCAACACACUUGUGUUUGGCAAAAUUUCUCCAGCUUGUUCUGGUGAUCAGUAGUUGGUCUCUCUGUCCAACUUGUGUCUUUGAGUACAGCCCCCCCCCCUUAAGAAAGCAGAAACGGGUUGGAGAGAUGACUCUGGGGUUAAGAGCACUUGCUGAUAUUUCAGGAGAUGCAAAUUCAGUUCCCAGCACCCAGAUCAGGUAAUUCCGCCUGCAAAUCCAUUUCCAGGGGAUCCAAUGUCUUCUGGCUUCUGCAGGCACCUGCAUACAUGUGAUGCACAUAAACUUGUGAAACACACACACACACACACACACACACACACACACACAUACACACACCAAUUAAAAUGAAUGAGCACAUCUUUAAAAAUAGAAAGAAAGCAGAAAUCUACAUAGUCACAGACACCCAGGCUAUCUGGACCCUCUGAUCAUGGACUCCAAUCUGCUCCUGGUUGGAGUAGGGAGAGAGGACAAAAGAUCUGUAUAAGCCACAAAGCAGUUCAGUUUGGAGAAGCAGGGACAGUGUCAUGGCCUCUCCUGCUGCUGUAGCCCAGGGAGGCAAACCUCAUUGAUGCAUAUUUCCAAAGCCUGAAGCCCAGGGACACCCUGACAGUGUCUUCUUGGGACAGUGACCUAGGGAAGGUUAUACUGUAUUAAAGCAGUUAAGUGCCCUUAAAAUACUCUUGCUACCCCCUUCUCAAGGUCCCACACCCUUUGGAAGCUGCUGGCAUUGCUCCUCUUCUGAUACUGCUCCCCCCC
rnacentral:lncRNA from 1 species